CUUUUAACAGACAAGUAAGCUGAAGCUCAGAGACCCGGAUGCACCUGCCCAAGGUCGCUCCACCAGCAGUGGCAGAGUCGACUGCAGAGCUGAGCUCCAAACCAACAUGCCCCUCGGGCCAGCCCUGGACACAAAGAUUCCUAAGGAGUGCUGAGGAGUCUUGCAAGAGUUCUGAAUCUGAUGUUCACCUCGAGCCUGAACAGAAGUCACAUCUCACAUAUGCACACAUGACUGGCUUUCAGCUACAGAGAAGGUCUGAGGACCAAAGGCAAAUCUAUUCAGAAGAAUUACAGACUCAG
rnacentral:lncRNA from 1 species